rnacentral:rRNA from 1 species
GCGUGAGUGAUGAAGGCCUUAGGGUUGUAAAGCUCUUUUGUCCGGGAAGAUAAUGACUGUACCGGAAGAAUAAGCCCCGGCUAACUUCGUGCCAGCAGCCGCGGUAAUACGAAGGGGGCUAGCGUUGCUCGGAAUCACUGGGCGUAAAGGGCGCGUAGGCGGCCAUUCAAGUCAGGGGUGAAAGCCUGAGGCUCAACCUCAGAAUUGCCUUUGAUACUGUUUGGCUAGAGACCGGAAGAGGUAAGUGGAACUGCGAGUGUAGAGGUGAAAUUCGU